GUGGGGAAUAUUGGGCAAUGGGCGCAAGCCUGACCCAGCGACGCCGCGUGGGCGAUGAAGGCCUUCGGGUUGUAAAGCCCUGUCAUGCGGAAAGAACGACCCUGUGACGCAUACUCACAGGGAGUGACGGUACCGCAGGAGGAAGCACCGGCUAACUCCGUGCCAGCAGCCGCGGUAAUACGGAGGGUGCAAGCGUUGUUCGGAAUUAUUGGGCGUAAAGGGCGCGUAGGCGGUAAUGUAAGUCAGAUGUGAAAUACUCCGGCUCAACCAGAGAAUUGCAUCUGAAACUGCAUAACUAGAGUACAGAAGAGGGAAACGGAAUUCCCGGUGUAGAGGUGAAAUUCGUAGAUAUCGGGAGGAACACCAGUGGCGAAGGCGGUUUCCUGGUCUGAUACUGACGCUGAGGCGCGAAAGCGUGGGGAGCAAACAGGAUUAGAAACCCGGGUAGUCC
rnacentral:rRNA from 1 species